AGNGAACCUGCGGAAGGAUCAUUG
rnacentral:rRNA from 1 species